UCUCCCCCCUUCCUACUAGCAGGAGAGACAGUUUAGCCUGCUUUUCCUGGUUCACAUCCUGGGGUGAAUCACCGCAGACAAACAGUUCCAGCAGAGACAUGGCUCAGAGGCUGUACAGGAGAAGAUAUGUCUGUCGCUCUGGGCAGGGUGCUGUGCAGAGGAAGGGAGAGAGGAGGAGAGUGAUUUAUGCGGGUCCAUUUAUGAGGGUGUCUGGUUUUGAGAUACUGAAUGGGAUUUUUCUUUGAAAAACAAACAAACGCUAUUUAUUUUUCUCCUAAUUGUCUGGAAAAACUCACUCCUCCAGCCAGUCACUCUCAUCUUCACUCAUUCUUUUUACUCUCACUCAUACUAAGCUGCUUUAGAAGUAUUUUUGGAGAUCGUUAGGCUUGGAACACUGUGUUCCUAGUUGCCGUUUUCAAAUUUUCUUACAUGACAUUCCUUUCCAGAGUGCUGGUGUUUAGACCAGCCAGAAAUAUGGAUAUUACAGAGCACAAUUAUGGCCUUGUGUAUCUUCCUCAAUAACUAUUUUAAAGGUUGCAGUAUACCUGCAGAGGGAUUUUAGGCAUAUAUUAAAUGCUGUAAUAGAUUUAAAGUCAGCCUCUUGUGACAUUAUGUGCAACACUUCUUCCCUACGAAGAUGGGAAGGGAGAAGUUACCAUUCUAGGAAUCUAUUGACCUGCCCAAGACUGUUUCAUGUCCUGUGACAUCAGAACUGGAGCCAGUUUCAUCUUUGCAUAGUUACUACAUGAGAAAACUUUUAAGGUAGCUUUUUAGAGCACUGCUGCAACUGUAGUUUGGAUUCCUGCCACGUGCACCAAGAGAACAUAGUAGCACGUCUUCAGAAGUUUCCUGAAGUUUGUGUUCUGGCAAGAAUUUUGAUUUGCUGCUGCCCUGGAUGCUGCUGGAAAUGAUCUUUGUCACUAUUACUAAUGGUGGCACAAACAGGGAGAAGUCUGGGAUCCACAUCACUACUUUGUCAACUUUCUUUCUGGAGUAGCUGCUCUCCUGACUCAGACAAGACUGCAGAUGUUGAAAACAGAUCAGGAGCAGAUGAUGUAAGAGCAACAGUGCGUCCCUGAGAGACAGCAAAGUAGCAGGUGCAGAAGAAACAUAUGCUGCAUUCCCAGCAGCAGGAGCAGCCAUGCGAAGGGCUCUCUGGGACCGCAUGUGGGGUGUGUGCUCCACUUUUCCAAUGGCAAUGAGGAAUAAGACUGUGCCAAGAGAAAGCAAGUAAUUUACAAACUUAACUUUCAUUUAUGGAAUAAUUCAUAGACUAAGUACACUGACUCAGAGCAAGAGAAUUUCUCAGGCAGAACAACUUGGGUCUUUAGUAAAAUAUCUUGUUUAGCUUUUAAAUGUUGAACAUCCAGAAACAAUAAUGAAGUGAAUUAAAAAACUCCAAACUCCUAAAUUAUGCCAUACAGUGAGAAACACAAAAAGCUUUCACUCAUUUAUUUCUUAGUAAAAAAACAUUAGUUUAGUUUAUAAAAUGUGUUUGAAAUUUUUGUACCAUAAAGCUUCUUUAAAUAUAUACAUAUAUUAAGAAAGAAAGGCAAUGGCUCAGUGACUGAAAGAAUUUUUGAGAUGACCAUUAAAAAUUGUUUCUUAGUACAUCACAGCACUGAUGGUGUUCCAUGUUCUAUCUGAUAUCAAGAAUCAGGUCGUAGCUGCCUUGACUUUUAAUCCAAAUUUAUUACAGAUAUUGGAAUAGGAGUUCAUGAGGUACCUAAUACCAUCAGGUGUAUUAACCUGCUCGAAACAUGGUAAGAGUAUAGACGAAGCACUUGAAGAUCUUCACAAUUCUCUUUAAGUAAAUUGCUGAUGCAGGAGGUUGCAAACAAAGCAGUCAUUACAGGCAAACUAAAGGAAUUUCCUGGAGCCUAAGAGGAAUUAGAAGGCUCAUGAGGAGCUGAACUAUCUCAGUAUCUGUUAAGAAAUCCUAGAAUGCCUAUCCAGAAAUGUCUGCCAAUUACACAUCCAUACAAGACAAGCUGGGGAAGACAAUAAACAGCAUUGUAGCCCUUGUUCUUCCUGAUAAAAGAAAAAGAUAUCAGGUUGGAAAUCUGAAUUUUGUCAUGGAACUUUUGAAACUGUUCUACAAAUAGAUGUUUCUGUUAAAGCAUUAGAAGGACGGGCAACACAACACAUAAUGAAUAGCAAGCUGGAAAAUGUCCACAAGGAAAAAAUGUUGUAGUUGAAUGAUAAAGCCAGGUCCUAAAGCUGUGUUCUGCAUCUUUUCUCUUUUCCCCUUGUUUGAAUCUGAAUGAAACACGGGUUGAGAUUAUUCUGUAAUAGCAUCUACAAUACAGAAAUUAUUCCUAAUCAUAAUUGUUUUUAUGUGAGUUCACUGAGUUCUCCUAGAUAAUUCAUGCUUUUCCAAAAACAAUACAUAUUUAUUUAUACAAAUGAAAAUGAAAUGUAAUUAAAACUAACUUUGUGACAGCUGCCAAAUGAUCCUUUUGAAGAAAAUGCCAGAUGGGGAUAGUCAGAGAGCAUUGUUUUCCAGCUAUUUUCCUACCGCCCAGAUCUACUACUGCUUCAGAAAAACUGCACAAAUAUGAAUAAGAGCCAGUUGUGCUAAUACUAGGCAUGCACCUUACCUCAGGGAAAAUUCCCAUAGAGUAUCUGAAAUACAUUAUUUCUUUCAUUUCCAGUUGAGUAUAGCAGUGAAUCUGUCUUGAGCUGCUGGAUUUUGUUCUUUGUAAAGAGGACCUGAGGAUGAAAAGCUGGACAUGACUGAAACAAAAGAGAGUAUUUUGAGGCUUUUGCACAUAUCAAAUGAAAGCAAGCAGCUCAGCUGCUGUUUAGGUUGCCAAUCCAGCUAGCUUUCUCUAGAUUUCUGCCUGCAGUCUCAGUCCCUGGACAAUCUGAAUCCUGUCACAGUCUCAGCAAAGAACAUUUUCUAGCUCACCCUAGCUUCUAUUAUAGCUAUUCUGCUCAGCUAGCUUUCCAACUAAUCAAAACUAUCUUGUAGACCAUCAUAUACUUGGAAGGCUUUUUGAAAACAAACAUGGGAGCUAGGCACCUUACUGUCAGCUGUGUCUUUGAGAAUGUCCCUGCAGAUGUGCAAAAUGUUUCUUUUUCUACCAUCCUGCCCCUGGUGUCCAGCUGCAGUGUUGCCAGAGACUAUGGACAGGAUAAAGAUGUUUAAGAGAAUCCAGAAGCACAAUGAUUUCUAAGGGUUUUCUAGAAAUUCUUACUCAUUUCUUUUUCUUUUUACUUGGGUUUUAUUUUCUUUCUUCUCCUCUUUGUCUGGUUACAGUAUGUGGUUGUUUUCUGUCAGCAAGAGACAUACAAAAAGGCUUGGAAAUUGAAAUUCUAAAGCUCUCUAGUCUUUUACAGUCCCAGCAAGGGCUGUUUUUUAAUCCUUUAAAUAUCAGGAUUUCAUUAAAGCUUUUUUUUCCCCCUUCUUAAUUCUCAGUAUGAAUCACAACUGAACUGAGCAUUAGUCUGUUUAAACAGUAAAGCAUUUACACAGAGGAACUCCAGCUGUAGUGUAAAUAUGAUUUAACAAGAUUUUUUUUAAAGACAUAGUCCUGGAAAAGUCAUUAUAGCUAUUUGUUUGCCAAAAACUAUAGGAAUAAGAGAAAAAUCCUUUGCAUGUCAUUUAUUAUUGCCACUUUAUAGGUCAGGGAAUUAUAAACAGAUUUAAGUAUUUUGCAAUAGCAGCUUUUUAUUGAAAGCUGUUCUUUUAAAAAGGCACUGCUUAUUUUUUUUUCGCUGCUACAAUUCUUCUAAUGUAUAUUUUCAGCCACUUCAGCUGAGUUGCCUACAGUUUUUACAACUAUGAAUGCCAAGAUGUUUUUACAGCCUCAUGUUAAUGCUACUAGUUUUGCUUAAUGCAUAUAUAAAUCUUGUACUAGCACUGAGACUGUCAAUCAGCAAACAUCUUUUAAAAGUAUUACUGCUAGCUACUUUACUGAUGGCUUCCAGUUUACAUAAAGUUAUUUAAGAGUUUCUACCCUAACCUUUCAUGGCAAGUUUGCAUAAAAGCCAUAUAAGUCCUAUAAAUGUAUACUACUUCUCAUCAAAAUUAAUUCCUUCUCCUGACAUGUGAUCUAUAAGAAAUUUAACAUAACCUAUUAAUAAGGCCCAUAAGAGCCUCUGUGCUUUUCUCCAUAGUAUUCAGUACCCUGAAAGUCCCUGAAAUACACACAGAAAAAAUGCUCUGGCCACCCACCAGUUUUUAAACCCAAGAUUGUCCUGUAUCUUCUCACUUCAGAUGAUAACAACAGUCUCUAAAGAUCAGCAAAUCUUGCAAAGCAAUAUAAGUUGCUUACUAUACUUCUGAGAUAUUGCAUCCAGUAGCUUUUAGUGCAUCUAAGAUGUCUGUUAUUUUAACUCACUCAAAAUCCUUGGUGAAAACAUAGACUUUAAGCGUACAUACAAAUGACAGCGGGAUUACUUAUAUGGUGAUGUAUCCUCUUAUUAAAUUUGCAGAUUUGCCCUUUCAUUUUGAAAGAAAAUAUUUACAUUAUCAUAGUACAGGAAAACAGAACUAGGAGACAGAUAUUCUGCAUUUGAAAGAUGGUAAAAAAGAAAAAAAUAAAAACAGUAAUGCAGCAGCUACCAGUUCAACUACACGUAAAAAUUUGUCACUGAAGUAGUAAAAACUCUUUGGUAAGGGAGAAAUAACAAUCCAAGAAAACAUAUGAAAUCAGUAUACAUUUUAAUUUUUCUUACCAUUGUACUCUUAAAAUACAACAAUUAUUUUUACUAAAGAAGGAUAAGCCAGACAAAGACGUAACUAAAUACAAAAGCCUAAGAAAAACAGCUGUUAAGUAAAUACUAUCAUAAAAAAGAUUUUAUCAGACUUUUCCAAUGUUUCGCAGCUUAGAUCAAAAAUAAAAUGCAAUAUGUGAAUAAAUUUGUGUAGUGGGUGUUCAUACAAUAUAGGAAAAUGGAGAUUUCUUGGGAAUAAGGAUGAUGACAGUUAAAAAAACUCUUCUCAAAAUUUCAGAGGCUAGCAAGUAUGACAUCUUUACACAUUUAUGUAUGGAAAGCAUGCUAAACCAAGUUUAAAAACAGAACAAAGCCUGUUUCUGUCAUCUUUGCUUCCCUUUCUGAAUGUUAAAUUACCUGGGGCAGCAGUUCAGUAUGUGAGCCAAAUAGACCAGGCAGAUGAGAUCAAUAUUCCAUUCACCAGGUAUUAAUGUUCGUCUGUAGCUCAGAAACAGAAGACACUUUCUUCAUGUAUUUACAAUGAAAAUACAUUUGAAAGAUCUGUCUGAGGUAAGGAUACUUUUGACCAAAACACCAGUCCUGUGGCUGUUUUUAUCAAAGAAGCCCAACAUGACAAACCUGACAUUAAAUCAUAAAAAGUAGAACAUAUUGUUCAGGGUCAUCUUUCUAUUAUAAUUUCUUCCUUUCUCCCAUUACAUUAUUUUUAGUCCUCCUCUUUUUCAUUCUUUCUCCAGUUUCUUGCUUUCCUUUCACCACAGGAGAAGGUUCAACACAAGUGCAGGGGAAAAGCUCAAUUACAUAGAAGGUAACACACUAAAAGCAUCACCCUUCUUGGUGGUAUCGUGCUGCUAAAUUUUACCAAAUCUUACCAAAUAAAUUGUUGGAGUUUCAAAGUUUCCACUGUUUAAAACUGAACACAUAACCAUGAUGAAAACCAAAAUCAUAUUUGUUGAUAUCCAGCCAAAUUCUGAGACAUAAUCAAUAUGGCUACCCUAGCAACAAAUCCUUGGAUAGGCUUUCCUCUUGCUGAACCUGCUCAUUCUAUGGAAGAGCAAAAUCUAAAGCCAGGAAAGCCUACAAUUCCAUCUAGUUGGACUUCAUACAUUACUUCAGGCUUGCAUACUUCUUCCAGACCCAAAUCUUGUGAAUUUACUUGCACAAGAAAUUUGAACAAAGAGCCUAAACAGUGAACCACAAGCCAAAACUAGGAGACACAGGAAGAGAAGGAAAUAAAGGGAUCUCAAUUUUCUUCACAAGGUAGCCUUCCUUCCUAUUCCCAUUUCUAAAAAUCUGUAUACUUCCAACCUCUUAAUCAAAACACAGUUACCUUGACACCUACUUUUUAUUGUCAGCCCUUGACUAUAAGCACUGCAGGAAGAUUUAAAACAAAGCUACAUAAAAUUUGUCAGACUGUUCAUAAGAGAGCUGGGAGGGAUAUUGGGCUAAAAAAACAGGAUGCUAAAUAAUUUAAAGUGCAGUGGGAGAAAUCCUUAUUAGAAAGAUCAUUCUCUGUCUACUUUCUUGAUUUAUUUUUCUAGUUUGCCAAAUCCAAAGGCUACAUCUGGUCAGUUUUGAUCACCCAGAAUGCUUAAUUUGACUUCAGUUAUGUGUUUCUGACAUGUGUUUGUAGCUUAGAAUAUUAUAUUUUCAAUACGUUUCAGUGAUGUUACAAGAGCAGCACAUUAUUAUUCCCAUUAGCUAUGUGGAAUUGAUGAGUAAUACAAAAAUAAUUAGGUUAUGGAAUUUCUAUUUUAUUGGCUUGGUGAUACAGCAGCAAAUUUUAUGUAUCACAAAUGAAAAAGCACAUUGUGUAUAAAAAUAAGUAAACUGUGUACAGUGUUAACUGCUGCAUCAAGACAGACUUCAGAACAUUCUCCCUGUAUGUCAAACCAAGAGAGCCACACUGUGCCAACCAGAGAACGGUUGUUCUUUGUUAGAACUAACUAGCAAUAACUUCAGACACAUGACAUUUCUUCAGGUGCAGAAAAUGCUGUAGCUCAACACUAAGGAAUAGAACCACUGACUCCUUAGUGUUGUAAGGGACCUCUGAAGUCCAUCUAGUCCAGCUCCCCUACAGUGAACAGGGCAUGAUCCAGCCUUUAAAGUCUCUGGGAUUGGGGCAUCAAGCACAUCACUGGGCUUUUGAGUUUCCUUCUAACCUAAAUCUGCACUCUUUGAGUUUGAAACCACUUCCCCUUGUUCUAUCACAACAGACCCUGCUAAAUAGCCUGUCCCCAUCUUUCCUGUAGCUUCCCUAUAGAUAGUGAAAUGCCAUUCUCAGGUCACCUCGGAGCCUUCUCUUCUCCAGCCUGAACAGCCCCCAGCCCCAGCUCUCUCAGCCUGUCUCCAUACAAAUCCUGUAAGAACUGCUGAAUUACAGAUUCCAGAAGUUCUGACAGAUACACUGACACGAGUGGAGCCUGGGUCCAUGAGUAUCUAGCAAUAGGAUUAUUAUUAUUAUUUUUUUUUCAGAUAUAAUAGAUUCUUUCAACUAUUAAUACUUCCAUUCUUCCUCAUAUGAGAAGUGAAUCCCAGAAGAGCAAAAGUGCAUCCAUUAUAUUGCAUGGCAAACAUAUUUUCUGCAUCCAUUAUUGCUAACUCACUGAAAGAAUAAAAAUAAAGAAAGAAUACAAAUUAGAAUAGGAAUAAGAAUUAAGGUCAAGGAGGGAAGGUUUAGGUUAGAUGUCAGGGAGAAGUUUCACAGAGAGAGUGGUGAGGUACUGGAACAGUGUGCCCAGAGAGACAGUAAAUGCCCCAUCCCUGGAGGUGUUCAAGACCAGAUUGGAUGGAGUCCUGCACAAUCUGGUCUAGUACCAAAUCUGGAGGUUGGUGGCCCUGCCUGCAGCAGUGGGGUUGGAGCUUCACGGUCACUGGGAUCCCUUCCAUCCCAAACCAUUCUAUGAUUCUAUGAAAGCAUCUGUAAGAACAAGUCUUUCCUAAGUUACCCAUUGUCUUAUAGUUCAAAAAUAGACUCAAAAGAACAAAAGCAUAACAACUGGUGUUGAGGGAUUCACCUGCCUAAACAAAUAUAAAAAGUUACAUCCAAGUCCAACUCAAACUUUAUAGUCCUCUAAUGUAAUAUGCAUCUCUGGACAGUAAAUCAGAUCAAUUUAUAAUUUGAAAUAAAUGCAUAAUAUAUUCCAAAACAAAUGCUUUUUGUGGAUGUCUGUUUAUUACUAUAAAGCAAAUUAACUACCUUAAACUGCACUCUAAAACUUUAAGAAACCAAAAAUUAGGGGACAUAAAAUCAACCUUUUUUUUCUUUUAGAAUUAUCUGAGAACUAAAAUACUCAGCUCUUUGCAGUGGCAAAAUAUAGAUCUUUGCAUUUCAAGCUAACAAACUGAAUCCAUCCUGAGCAUUACUGCACUGGAAUAAUCUACAAAAUAAGAUCACAUACAAAUUAUUCUUUCUGUUACAAAGACUAACUAAUAUAAAACAUCAGAAGUUCUGUUUCUGCAAAUAUUCAGAGUGAUUCAUAAAAGUAAUGGGAACGUAUUGGGAAAAAUAAAAUCCUAUUUUACUACAGGCAUGCUGUGAGAACAGUUGCCCUCAAAAUUAUGUCACAUGAAAGAGAUACAUAAAAAAAUCCAGAUGAGUUUCAUAGUUCUUAAGGAACUUCUUUCAUCCUUUCUUUUGGAAGAAAGGUAGUUCUUGCGAUUAAUUUAUGGCACAAGAAUCAAAGGAUCUACAUACUUAAUAUAUGAACAUAAUGAAAAUCUGAACAGUGUUACCAGGGAAUGUUUUGGCCAAAUUAUUUCUAUCAACUGUCUGUUCAGCCUGGAGUUUAAUUUGGCAGCACUCAAGGGUUCUUAGUGAAGUUAGCACAGCUGAUUACUUUCACAUCCAGCCAUGCACAAACAUCUCAACAUGUUGAAAGUCACGGAAAUUUGCUAACAAAAAUGAACCCCAUGGAAUUCAUAGCUCCCAAGACAGAUGUAAAAGAAUUCAAGCAAGAGGUCCUGACCCUAGCAAUGCUAGGUUUGUUCAGGGGGAUAAGUAGUUCAAGUAUCAGCCCCUUGGCUACACAGUCAGUAGAGGUAGCAGCUGAUGUGAUGUGACAGACAUUCAUUAAAAGCCUGUUCAUUAUAUUUUAGUUCAUCUCACCAUAAUUUUCUUUAUCUGAUAAUUAUUUCUUUCCAGGUACUUAAAUGGGAAAUGUUAAAGAAGUGGAGUGUCAAAUUUCAUGUACAUGCUUGCCGAUAUGGAUCAUUAAAUAUCAUGGCAACAUAUAAUGUAAAUAACUGUAGACUGUGACAAGUGUGAUAGUUAUCAGAAUCUAGACUACGAUAUAAAAUGUGACAUCCCAGCAGAAACUUCUUUCUCAUAGCAUAAACUUAUGAGUAAGAGCAGUAUUUUUAAAAAGCACACCAAAGAGAAAUGUUAAAAUCAGGUGCAUUCUUCGCUGUUCCAUGAUAUAUUCAUUCAGCAGAUAAUUCAAUCCUGAGUGACUUGCUUAUCCCAUUAAAGGUAUCAGAAUUUGUUAUAAUUUUGAAACAGUUAAUAUUUACUAAAAACUGUCAUUAUAACUUAGUUAACAAGAAGGGGAACAAUUGCUUAAGAGAAGGCUGUGUUCACCUGGAUUGAUUUUACCUUCAAGCUCUUGUUCAUUCCUUAUGAAUCAUGACACAGUGUCACCAGCAAAUUCAUGUAACUUUGAUUUACUUGUGGGAUUGCUGCAUAUGAAAAUGAAAUAUGCCAUUUGGCCUACUGAGAUAGAAUUCUCUUUGGAUUUCUGGAGAGAUGCAUGACGAGAAACAGGUAAAAACACAUUUAUCUUUAAAAAUACUAAAAGCAUCCAAAGGAAAACAGUCAAUUGCUGUACAGUUAUUAUAUUAGGGGACAAUGAGCUGACUUGUUAUGAAAUUAUAACUUUCAGGACAAUUGUGUCGAAAGCAAAACAAAGAGAUAAUACUUAGCAAUGUAGUAACGAUCAUGAAAAAAAUGAUUCAUUGCAAAAUAAACUGAAGAAAAAUUAGGUCACAAUAAAAAUAACCUUAAAUAUCUCUCUCUAUAUUUUUUUUGGUGUGUGUAUUGUUGAGUUUUCUCGUUAAGAUUAUCAUAACACUGAGUACUCUGAAAACUGAAAAAAAAGCGACCAGAAGAAAAAAAAGCAGUUUGUCUAUUGUCUUACAACACAUUUUAGGGCAUCAAAAACAUCUGCAUCAUCAAUUCUUUUUUUGCAGUGUUAUGAUUACAACUAUCUGUAAUAAUAUAUAAGAUAACAUAUAACAUAUAACAGAUACACAAGUUAGCUUAUGAUAGCUCACGGGCCAGCUAGUGGAGUUUAAUAUGAGCAAGAAAUUAUGCCUUUUAUAUCUAUGCAUUGACAAGUAAAAUACUACAAUUAAAAGUCUUGUACAGACUCAAGGAUUCAGAAGGAGUUUGAGUAGAAAGCCUACAUCACUAGAACCAAAUUCCCUAGAAUUUUUUCUCUGGUGCAGGACUUUUCCCUUACUCCCCACCUGGCCCUCCCCUGACAUAGCUCUAUGCCAUUCCCUCAGGCCUUGAUGCUGUCACCAGAGAGCAGAGUUCUGCUCCAUGUGAGUUGCUGCAGGCCACCAUGAAUUCUCCCCUUAUCCUUCUCUGCUCUGGGCUGAACAAACCAAAAAACUCCAGUUUCUCCUCAUACAUUUUGCUCCCUAGAUCCUUGGCUAUCUUUGUAGCCCUCCUUUAGAUGCUCUCUAGUUGUUUUAUGUCCCCUUUAUAUUGUAUCACCCAGAACUACACCCAGUGCUGGAGGUGAGGUUGUACAGCACAGAGCAGAGUGGGACCACUACUCCCACCGGACAGUGGCAGUACUGGGCCUUAUGCAGCCCAGGGUAUGGUUGGUCCUUAUGGCUACCAGAGCACACUGUUGGCUCAUGUUCAACUUACUUUCAACCACUAUCCCCACAGCUGCUGCUCUUCAUGCUCUGAUCCUUCUGCCUGUAUAUAUAUCCUGGGUUGCCUCAUCCCAAGGGCAGAAUCUGGCACUUGUUAAACUUCAUGCCCAGUUCUCCAGUUUGUCCAGUUUACUCAGCAGUUCUUCUCAUCUCUCAUGAGAGUGAACAGCUCCUUCUAAUUUAGUGUCAUCCAUGAAAAUACUGAAGAGAACUGACCCUAAAAUAAGCAGAACCCUACUAGCAACUGGCAACAAGCUUGAUGUAACCCCAUUUACUAUAUCCCUUUGAGCCUGACUCAUCAGCUACUUGCUCACUCAUCAGAUUAUAUAUUCUGUCUUUAUAAAAUCAUAGAAUAAUAAUAGAAACAAAAUUUGUAACUAUAACUAAUUGGUAAAACCAAUCUAAAAUAUUUACAAACCAAAAAAACGUUAGGAUAACAGAUCUGAAUAGUGAAGGACUUUUUAACAUAUCAAAUAAGUUGUAAAAUAACUAGUGCUGAAGCUUGAGAAUUCUGAUACUGGAAUUACUCAUGAUAGUUUAUUAUUACUCAUUAGUUUGAAAUGACUGUAAUGGUCUUUUACAAUCUCAUUUUGAAUCCAAGAACUGUGAUUCUUGUGGUUUUUCUGGAACAUAUUAAGUUCCUUACUAAUCAGACAGUACUUGCAGAAGUGAAAUGGCACUUCUGGUACUGUUCUGAUUUCCAUUACAUUGUCUCUGACCUGCAAUCACACUUGCUCAGACAUAUUACCAAGGCUUUCAAAAUGGAGUUUUUCUUCCUGGGGAAAGACAUGGCCAUUUAGAUUAUUUCCUAGAAGAGAGUGGCUGCCUUGCUAAAGUUAAAUUAUACCCAGACUCUAAUUCAUACUUUAAUCACAGAAAUCUCCAUUAGUACAGGAAAGUAGAGUAAAAAUUAGAGUUAAGAUCUCAUGAUGGCUUUUGCUGUUGUUGGUCUUGUGUGUUUGUUUUUCUGUUGUUGUUUUUUCACUUUUGUUUUUCACAUGCAAUAUAAUAAAAGCAUUUGACUAUAAAGCAAAACAAGUCAUAACACUAGUAUGUGCUAGUCUAGUUAGCUGCAGGAGUAAAAAAGCUUGUAAUUAGCUGACAACAGUCUAGCCACUUGGGUGCUAAUAACGCUUGUUUCCGGAAAAAAUUUGGAAAAAACUAUCACUUUGACUGAAAAGUAACAACUUCUGUCAGAUUCAGAUGUCUUAAGAGCCAUUCAUUGACAUUAGUUUUCAUUGUAAUUUAUCUCUUAGUAUUUUGAAGAAGUAGGUAAGAAAUAAUUGCAAAAUCUACAAAUUGAAACUCUUCUUGAAGUUUAUUAGAUGGGCUAUAUUUGGUCUAUUAGAUUUAGAUAUUAAAUACAGCUAAAUGCAGAGAGAACAAACUCAUUGAGAAUUCAUGAAUUAUUUUAAAAAUAGGGAAAAUGGGAGCAAAGAGAAUAAAUAUAUAAAAAAUGCAUUCUAGUAUUUUUUGCUUAGCGUUAUUUUUAUUGAGUAAUUUUUAAAUUUUUAAAAUUUAUUUUUAAAAUAUUAUUAUUGGUGGUUUUUAAAUCCUUAUCUAUACUCUAUUUUUCCAUCGCUUCCCUUUCCAUACUUUGCUUCAUCUUCCUUCCUCUUUGCCUUUCCUUCUCCUUCAUUUCCCAGUGUGGGUAAAUUUCACAAGAAAAUGAUGUGUUGGCAUAACUGAGCAUUUCAGAAGUCUCAUACAAUAUUGUAAAAGCUGGCAAGGCUUCUUUGUUCCUACCCAAGUUAUUUUUCUUCAGCCUCAUGAGUGGAGUUUCUUGCUCAGACAAAUGGCAGCAAA